GGACCUGUAGCUCAGGCUGGAUAGAGCGUUAGUCUUCUAAGCUAAAGGUCGUGGGUUCAAAUCCCAUCAGGUCCG
rnacentral:tRNA from 1 species